rnacentral:rRNA from 1 species
ACUCAAAUGAAUUGACGGGGCCCCGCACAAGCAGCGGAGCGUGUGGUUUAAUUCGUUGCUACACGAAGAACCUUACCUGGGUUUGACAUAAUGGUGGUAGGGAUCCGAAAGGUGACCGACCCUUCGGGGAGCCAUUACAGGUGUUGCAUGGCUGUCGUCAGCUCGUGUCGUGAGAUGUUCGGUUAAGUCCGCUAACGAGCGCAACCCUCGCUGUGUGUUAUAUGUGUCACACAGGACUGCUGGUAUUAAGCCGGAGGAAGGUGGGGAUGACGUCAAGUCAGCAUGACCUUUAUAUCCAGGGCUACACACACGCUACAAUGGUCAGUACAAUGGGUUGCCAAGCCGCGAGGCGGAGCCAAUCCUAAAAAGCUGGCCUCAGUUCAGAUUGCAGUCUGAAACUCGACUGCAUGAAGUCGGAGUUGCUAGUAAACGCAGGUCAGCUAUACUGCGUUGAAUACGUUCCCGGGGCUUGUACACACCGCCCGU